CCAGCUGAUAAAAACUCUAUUUGGUUAUAGCUCUUCCUCCUAAGCAAACGGCUGGAUUGGACAACCGGACUCCUGUCGCCGGCACUGCAAAAAAGGGAAGAAGGGGAGAUGGAGCAACUCCUAUGGAAGCGACUGCAGGCAGUUUUUAACUGGGAACCAAUCAGGUGGGCAAAAUCUAAGGACAGAAGAAAAAAGAUCGCCACCCAAAGGCAACUUGUCUCUUGGUGGUUCUCUGCUGUCAUCUGAAGCGGAAAAAAAAAAUCUUGGUGGUAGAGAACAGUGAACCAGAGAAUUCAGCCAAUGAGUUAAACAUUUUUACCGCCUCCCGUUCUGUUUUUUUGUUUUUUUUUAAUUGGAAACAAGCGGUCUCUCUUGCAGGUUCGCAAUCUCAAAUUCAGCCUAGAGCUGCGAGCCAGGUGAUGGAAGAAAACACCUUUUCUUCAUGUAAUAUGUCCUUGGAGAAAGUGAAGGGUGUGGUGAAUUGGAGAAGCUGAAGAACGCUCCUGUGGAGCAGCGUUAAUUGCAGCAACAUCAAGGCAUCUUUCAAAAACUAUAUGGUAGUUAAUGAUGAGAAGUCUGAGAACUCAUUUGAGGAAGCCAAUUUAGCCCAUAGUAAGCAGAUUAGAGGCUCUCGGAUUAGUGACUGAAAGGAGUCAGAGUAAAAGCAAUGCUGGUGCAAGUGCUUCUUCUGAUGGGAAGAGGAUUGCCACGGCCUCCUACGGUUGAUGUUUCUUCAGGACAAAUAGUAAAUUUAGAGAAUUCCUUUUGCAGCUAUCUUGGUAUCUCAAUGAAAGUUGUGGAGUGGUCUUGCCUUGGAAUUCCUCUCUCAGGUUCCUCUUUGAAACACGCUGAUUUCAUUUAUAUUUUUGAGAGAACCUCAUGAAAAGCUUGGUAGUUGGAAAUGGAAAGUGCUCUUCACUAGCUGGUAGAUCAAGGGAGAUCGAAGGAAGACGCAUUUAUUGGUUGGGAUAGCAUCUGCGAACCUGAGGAGUUUGGAGGCUUGGUUAUGUGUGAAGCCUUGCAUAGUUUGGUGAAGCUGCUGAGAAGUCUCAGCUAUGUACAAGGUCUCAUUUGGUUGGAUUAGUAGUGGAAUAGCCUUACAGGUAAAACACAUGUAUGAUAAGGCUAAUGGGGCAAUAGAUUGGGUAGCCUCGUAUGUAGCUAACUAUUCUGGAAGACUCUAUGGCUAGGGGAGAAAAGAUUACUCGGUGCACUCCGAGACUUGUUAUUUUUUGAUUUUAUUGGAUGCAUUCGUACCCGAUAUGUAUGAUACAUCUGCUUCAGCAAAAAAAAAAUAAAAAAUACAAAGAAUGUGAGUUCUUUCAGACA